rnacentral:rRNA from 1 species
AUUGAACGCUGGCGGCAUGCCUUACACAUGCAAGUCGAACGGCAGCAUGGAGAGCUUGCUCUCUGAUGGCGAGUGGCGAACGGGUGAGUAAAGCAUCGGAACGUACCGUGUAGUGGGGGAUAACGUAGCGAAAGUUACGCUAAUACCGCAUACGCACUGAGGUGGAAAGCAGGGGAUCGCAAGACCUUGCGCUAUACGAGCGGCCGAUGUCAGAUUAGCUAGUUGGUAGGGUAAAGGCCUACCAAGGCGACGAUCUGUAGCGGGUCUGAGAGGAUGAUCCGCCACACUGGGAAUGAGAAACGGCCCAGACUCCUGCGGGAGGCAGCAGUGGGGAAUUUUGGACAAUGGGGGCAACCCUGAUCCAGCCAUGCCGCGUGAGUGAAGAAGGCCUUCGGGUUGUAAAGCUCUUUCGGCCGGGAAGAAAUCGCACAGGCUAAUACUCUGUGUGGAUGACGGUACCGGCAUAAGAAGCACCGGCUAACUACGUGCCAGCCGCCGCCGUAA